rnacentral:piRNA from 1 species
UGCUGUCACAGGAACUAAUAGGGCA